rnacentral:rRNA from 1 species
AUUGAACGCUGGCGGCAGGCCUAACACAUGCAAGUCGAGCGGUAACAGAAAGUAGCUUGCUACUUUGCUGACGAGCGGCGGACGGGUGAGUAAUGCUUGGGAACAUGCCUUGAGGUGGGGGACAACAGUUGGAAACGACUGCUAAUACCGCAUAAUGUCUACGGACCAAAGGGGGCUUCGGCUCUCGCCUUUAGAUUGGCCCAAGUGGGAUUAGCUAGUUGGUGAGGUAAUGGCUCACCAAGGCGACGAUCCCUAGCUGGUUUGAGAGGAUGAUCAGCCACACUGGGACUGAGACACGGCCCAGACUCCUACGGGAGGCAGCAGUGGGGAAUAUUGCACAAUGGGCGCAAGCCUGAUGCAGCCAUGCCGCGUGUGUGAAGAAGGCCUUCGGGUUGUAAAGCACUUUCAGUCAGGAGGAAAGGUUAGUAGUUAAUACCUGCUAGCUGUGACGUUACUGACAGAAGAAGCACCGGCUAACUCCGUGCCAGCAGCCGCGGUAAUACGGAGGGUGCGAGCGUUAAUCGGAAUUACUGGGCGUAAAGCGUACGCAGGCGGUUUGUUAAGCGAGAUGUGAAAGCCCCGGGCUCAACCUGGGAACUGCAUUUCGAACUGGCAAACUAGAGUGUGAUAGAGGGUGGUAGAAUUUCAGGUGUAGCGGUGAAAUGCGUAGAGAUCUGAAGGAAUACCGAUGGCGAAGGCAGCCACCUGGGUCAACACUGACGCUCAUGUACGAAAGCGUGGGGAGCAAACGGGAUUAGAUACCCCGGUAGUCCA